ACCAAAAAUUGUGUCAAAGUGUGUAGUUAAACAAUACAAAAGAUUCGCAAAUUGUGAACUCCAAUAACAGGAAACUGUUUGUGUUUUCAGACAGCCAUGGUCGUGGACUUGCGAGUAAACUAAAAGAAACAACUAAAACAUUUUCGUGUGGUAUAGUGAAACCAGGAGCCCCACUUAGUGAAAAUAAAAAAUGACCGAAUCCGCAGAGGCAAAAAAUCUGCAUGAUAAAGACUUCGUUGUACUUCCGGGAGGCGCAAACGACAUCUACAAAAAUGAAACAGCGAGUGCAACGCGUGAUCUUAAACAGUGAGGAACCUCACUCAAACUAACGUAAUACUUGUCAAUAUUCCGCAUCGCUAUGAACUUGUAAGAUGGUCAUGUGUUAACAGGGAAAUAGAAAGUGCCAACAGUCAGUUUUCAAAAAUCUGCAGACAUUUUAAAAACGUGAAAUGCGUUGAUAUAAGCAGUAUUGGACGUAGAUUCUACACGCAACACUGACUUCACCUGAAUGGCUUGGGGAAAGAAUAUCUGACAAGCCUGAUAACCAGGGUAAUAAAAACCAAAACAAUAAUUGCAUCGCCAUCACCUGACUUCAUAAUGAAAACGCUUCAAAAAAAAUCAUUAGAAACAGCAGCAGCAGCAGCAAAACAUGUAAAAAAAGACCAAAUUUUAACAGAAAGAACAGUAGACAUCGAUUUCAACAACAAAAGAACUACUGUUCCUCAUCAGCCAAGUAUUAUUUUAGACGAAAAUAACAAAAAACGAGAAGACUCAAAGUUCACAAGGAAACACAGCAGUCGUGGUAGAACCAACAUUUGAAGUCUCAGAAACAUCAUCACCAUCAACAACAACAAAUAGAAGGCUGUUGGACAGAAGAAAUGCUGAGCCUCCUUGUCAUUUCAAGGAUUUUUUGUAUGUGGGCCUGAAGAAAAAGAAGGGACAACAGUAGGUAGUGUCAGGUGUCUCCUCUCUCCAGUCUCAAGACAGACUCCAAUGGAUUCUCAGUCAGGCAAAUUCUGUAUUGGGGCAGUACUUGGUUCUUGGGAGGAAUAAGGAGAAUUUUGUUGGUUGGAUGAAGACAACAGCUGGUGCAAAUCAGAAACAGGCUAAUGAUUGUUACCGUUGUCUCUCAGAGUGGAGUGAUCAGUUUUUGUGAAAUGCUGGAACAGAACUAAAAAUAGAGUUUUCAAGCUAUGUAUGUGUUUUACAAAUUAAAUAGCUUUAUUGUA